rnacentral:ribozyme from 1 species
CAAGAGAAAGGGGUGCUUUUCUCACAAGAAGAAUACUAGCUUUUUCAAGCUACUUUAUCCCUGUUUGUCUCCUUACCGCCUACCUGCUGUAACUCUGCACAGUUUGAUCGCUUCACAUCCACCCUUACACAAGGUGUGA